AGAAAGAAGAAGAAUGGAAAAGAGGAAGAAGAAGAAAGAAGAAGAAGGGGAAGUUCACCAUAGAGCUUCGCUGGAGCUGGGUCUUGGUAUUUUGAGCCUGGAUUAAUGAUCAGCUCACCGAGGUCUUUGAUUUGAGGAUUUGAAAGGAGUGUUGGUGAAGAUCUAGAGUAUUUGGAGGUUCUUGAGAAAAAGAAAAGAAAUUUGGGUUUUCAUUGGAGUUCUUGGAAAAGAGGCUACGCUCAAUAUACGUGUACCCACACAUCGGAUCUUUUUUGUACCGGAUACAAGCACCGUGUACACAUACAAGUGUUUUUGCAGGUUAUCUGCCUGGCGAUCAGGAGCCAGGCCCCAUUGUGGAGUUUUCAUUUGAGGACUGGUGGGUCCCUAAUGAGUUCGGGUGUGGUGCCAAUUGUAAGUGCGAGGAUUG